rnacentral:misc_RNA from 1 species
GGUAGUAUUUUUGAGUUCUUGUUUAUUUCACGGACUAUUUUUAAGUUGUUGUUUCUCUUGCAGGCUCGCAAUUUGGUAAGCCAAUGUGUAUAUAUGGACCCCUAACAAGGCUCGCCUAAUACGUCAUCACUCAGGCUCGAGCUACAUAUGCUUAGGCACAUGGCCACCCUCGGCCAUGGCCAAAAGAUUGAAGCUUCUCUGCUUUCUAGUUCUGCAAACUGAGAAGAAAGGUAGCCAAAUUGCCAGAGGAAGAGCAUCCCAAACAGGCAUUUGGAUGGGCAGCAAGAGAACAGUCAGGGGUCCUCUCUCCUUUCAAAUUCUCCAGGAGUUUCCGUCUUUUUCUUCAUAUAUUCUAUAUCUGAAUCAGUUUUCUUGAAGCUCUGAGAACCAGACUUAUAAUCCAGUUCAUUAUCCAUGUAAAAGGGCACGAGUAUUUGUGUUCAUAUGAUAUAUGUUUGUGCAGGGAAACAGGAGAGAAAGACAUUUGUUUUAAAGUCCUAUAUUGUGGGAUGUGCCACUCGGACAUUCACAUGAUCAACAAUGGAUGGGGCACUUCUACUUACCCUCUCGUCCCCGGGCAGGCAUGAAAUAGUGGGAGUGGUGACAGAGGUGGGAAGCAAGGUGGAAAAAUUCAAGGCUUCAAUGGGCACAAUGGAUGGUAUAAUCGAUACAGUGUCUGUAAUACAUCCUCUUUUGCCUUUGAUUGAUCUAUUGAAGAUUCAUGGAAAGCUGGUUUUGCUUAGCGCACCAGAGAAGCCACAUGAGCUACCAGCCUUCCCUUUGAUAAUGGGGAGGAAGAUGGUGGGUGGUAGUGGCAUUGGGGGAGUGGAGGAGACACGAGAAGAUUGAUUUUGCAGCCAAACACAGCAUAACAUCAGACAUUGAAGUAAUCCCGAUUGACUAUGUGAGUACUGCCAUUGUGCGAAUGCUGAAAGCUGAGGUUAGAUGCCGAUUUGUGUUAUUGAUAUCGGCAACACAAUAUAUUCUGGACAUUGAUUCCAAUUUACACACUUGGGACAAUAAAAGGGAGGGAAAUUGUUACUUAAAACUCAGUUCAUCUUAAACUUAAGACAUAUAUAUAUAAUCGGAUUUACAUAUAAGAUAAGUGAAAUACUAUUAUGUCUUAAGUUUAUUAUGAAUUAAGUGAAAGUACAAUUUUUUUUCAAAAAGGAAUGUAUAUGUAUGACUUGAAUCUUUAAGUUCUAAUUUUUAUGAAGAAA